AUGCAUGUCUAAGUAUAAGCAAUUAUACAGCGAAACUGCGAAUGGCUCAUUAAAUCAGUUAUCGUUUAUUUGAUAGUACCUUACUACUUGGAUAACCGUGGUAAUUCUAGAGCUAAUACAUGCUAAAAACCCCGACUCACGGAGGGGUGUAUUUAUUAGAUUAAAAGCCAAUGCCCUCCGGGGCUCACUGGUGAUUCAUAAUAACUUGUCGAAUCGCAUGGCCUUGCGCCGGCGAUGGUUCAUUCAAAUUUCUGCCCUAUCAACUUUCGACGGCUGGGUCUUGGCCAGCCAUGGUGACAACGGGUAACGGAGGGUUAGGGCUCGACCCCGGAGAACGAGCCUGAGAAACGGCUAUUACAUCCAAGGAAGGCAGCAGGCGCGCAAAUUACCCAAUACCGACUCGGUGAGGUAGUGACGAUAAAUACUGAUACAGGGCUCUUUUGGGUCUUGUAAUUGGAAUGAGUACAAUUUAAAUCCCUUAACGAGGAACAAUUGGAGGGCAAGUCUGGUGCCAGCAGCCGCGGUAAUUCCAGCUCCAAUAGCGUAUAUUAAAGUUGUUGCAGUUAAAAAGCUCGUAGUUGAACCUUGGGCCUGGCUGGCCGGUCCGCCUCACCGCGUGCACUGGUCCGGCCGGGCCUUUUCCUCUGGGGAACCGCAUGCCAUUCACUUGGUGUGUCGGGGAACCAGGACUUUUACUUUGAAAAAAUUAGAGUGUUCAAAGCAGGCCUAUGCUCGAAUACAUUAGCAUGGAAUAAUAGAAUAGGACGUGUGGUUCUAUUUUGUUGGUUUCUAGGACCGCCGUAAUGAUUAAUAGGGACAGUCGGGGGCAUCAGUAUUCAAUUGUCAGAGGUGAAAUUCUUGGAUUUAUUGAAGACUAACUACUGCGAAAGCAUUUGCCAAGGAUGUUUUCAUUAAUCAGGAACGAAAGUUAGGGGAUCGAAGACGAUCAGAUACCGUCGUAGUCUUAACCAUAAACUAUGCCGACUAGGGAUCGGACGGUGUUAUUUUUUGACCCGUUCGGCACCUUACACGAAAGUACAAGUUUCUGGGUUCUGGGGGGAGUAUGGUCGCAAGGCUGAAACUUAAAGGAAUUGACGGAAGGGCACCACCAGGGGUGGAGCCUGCGGCUUAAUUUGACUCAACACGGGGAAACUCACCAGGUCCAGACACGAUGAGGAUUGACAGAUUGAGAGCUCUUUCUUGAUUUCGUGGGUGGUGGUGCAUGGCCGUUCUUAGUUGGUGGAGUGAUUUGUCUGCUUAAUUGCGAUAACGAACGAGACCUUAACCUGCUAAAUAGCCCGUAUUGCUUUGGCAGUACGCUGGCUUCUUAGAGGGACUAUCGGCUCAAGCCGAUGGAAGUUUGAGGCAAUAACAGGUCUGUGAUGCCCUUAGAUGUUCUGGGCCGCACGCGCGUUACACUGACGGAGCCAGCGAGUACUUCCUUGGCCGAAAGGCCCGGGUAAUCUUGUUAAACUCCGUCGUGCUGGGGAUAGAGCAUUGCAAUUAUUGCUCUUCAACGAGGAAUCCCUAGUAAGCGUAAGUCAUCAACUUGCGCUGAUUACGUCCCUGCCCUUUGUACACACCGCCCGUCGCUACUACCGAUUGAAUGGCUCAGUGAGGCUUUCGGACUGGCCUAGAGAGGUGGGCAACUACCACUCGGGGCCGGAAAGUUAUCCAAACUCGGUCAUUUAGAGGAAGUAAAAGUCGUAACAAGGUCUCCGUAGGUGAACCUG
rnacentral:rRNA from 1 species